CCCUUAGAUGUUCUGGGUCGCACGCGCGCUACACUGACGAAUGCAACGAGCUUAUAACCUUGGCCGAAAGGUCUGGGUAAUCUCCAAAUUUCGUCGUGAUGGGGAUAGAUUAUUGCAAUUAUUAAUCUUCAACGAGGAAUGCCUAGUAAGCGCAAGUCAUCAGCUUGCGUUGAUUACGUCCCUGCCCUUUGUACACACCGCCCGUCGCUCCUACCGAUUGAAUGGUCCGGUGAAGCGCUCGGACCGCGGCCUCUUGACGGUUUUCCGUCGAUUGGCUGUGGGAAGUUCGUUAAACCUUAUCAUUUAGAGGAAGGAGAAGUCGUAACA
rnacentral:rRNA from 1 species